GGGCUCGUAGCUCAGGGGGAGAGCACCACGUUGACAUCGUGGGGGUCGGCAGUUCGAUCCUGCCCGAGCCCACCA
rnacentral:tRNA from 2 species